AUAUCUGUUCCAUACAUGCUCCACUUAAUAUUGAGUGUAGUGUUGCGUAGUAUUGAACGGAACGGAUAUGUGAUCUCUGCACGGGAGAUUGGGACUUUGCUAUUCUUUGAAUGUCCCUUACAGUUUCUUAUUAUUUUGUACUAUUACACAACUGUCACUGGGUAAGGAGAUUGUUGAGUGCUGGCAAACUUGUCAAACCAGGCC
rnacentral:lncRNA from 1 species